rnacentral:rRNA from 1 species
UGGGGAAUAUUGCACAAUGGGCGCAAGCCUGAUGCAGCCAUGCCGCGUGUGUGAAGAAGGCCUUCGGGUUGUAAAGCACUUUCAGCGAGGAGGAAGGUGGUGAACUUAAUACGUUCAUCAAUUGACGUUACUCGCAGAAGAAGCACCGGCUAACUCCGUGCCAGCAGCCGCGGUAAUACGGAGGGUGCAAGCGUUAAUCGGAAUUACUGGGCGUAAAGCGCACGCAGGCGGUUUGUUAAGUCAGAUGUGAAAUCCCCGGGCUCAACCUGGGAACUGCAUUUGAAACUGGCAAGCUAGAGUCUCGUAGAGGGGGGUAGAAUUCCAGGUGUAGCGGUGAAAUGCGUAGAGAUCUGGAGGAAUACCGGUGGCGAAGGCGGCCCCCUGGACGAAGACUGACGCUCAGGUGCGAAAAGCGUGGGGAGCAAACAGGAUUAGAUACCCCUGGUAGUCCACGCUGUAAAACGAUGUCGAUUUUGGAGGUUGUGCCCUUGAGGCGUGGCUUCCGGAGCUAACGCGUUAAAUCGACCGCCUGGGGAGUACGGCC